UUCAUCUGCUGUUUGAAGACAUUUGCCCAGAGAAAAAUCACCAAUUUAACACAAAUAUAAGAAGCCAUAAAAUUUAGAAAAGACCCAUAACAUAAUUUUUCUUUAAAUUUUAUCAUGGACAAAGCAAUAGAUAAAUAUGAAGGUGGUUAUAACCAUACAGGUCAUGCUGUCUCUCCAACUAUAUAUUGUUAACUUUCUCUAAGUAUUAUCUUCAAGGAGGUCAUGGGACUGAUUACAUAGAUAACACAACCUGACAUGUAUCAAAAUUCCAGAUUCUUAAAGGAAACCCCCCUACCACAUGUUAUUCUUUGCAGGAAAAUUGUAGCCACAUGUAGAAUGUCCUAAGAAUGACAAGAUCAAUGCAUCUGAGGAGUAAGAGAGACUGAUGAUCUGCUCCAAGGAGGCUGCUCACAAAUGAUCCCUCAGAGUCACAACAGAGCAUCAACGAACAAUGAACAGUGUCUAUGGGGACUUGGUUCUUUCAGGUCUGCUUUAACUUAUGCUUGCAAAGCACAGACCUCAGGACUGACUCACAGAAGGCUCUUCUCUGACAGAACAACAGCUUUCCACAAUUUGGGAAAGCACAGACCACCUUUAUCUAAGAUUUCAGCAGAAGGACCUAUUACUGUUCAUUCGAUAAUGGGACAUUGUAAUGAAACUGAGAUAAUAAAAAGCAUAUGUGUUUGGAACUGGUUCAAAUGGGGCAAUGAAUUUAUUCUAUUUUUUUCUGAGUGAGAUCAAGCUUUUAGAAUUAAAGGAGAUAAGGAGCAGAGAAGUCAAAAAGCAAUGAAUGUAGGAUCUAGAUGUUAGAACAAAUAGACUUUAAAAAUGUUUUACAGUAAGUAAUAGAGCAUUGGCCAAAUAAGGUAAAGUCAGAUAAUUAUUCCAUUUCUUAUAGACUGUUCAAGUGCAAACAUUAGAACAUGCAUUCAAUAGAGCUGUUGACCUUCCCCACCCUCACAAUGGGAUCACAAAGAAGAAGAUGUGAUGUAG
rnacentral:lncRNA from 1 species